UUUAGCCGUCGGGAUCGGCCUCUGGUCCUGACGCAUGUCGGCGGCAAGAUCCACAUUCCUGCAAAGACGAUGAAACAUCAAGAGCUCAAACAUGCCAAAUAACUGACGAUGAAUGGAUGUGAUGUGGCCUGCAAACCACGUCAUCUUGUGAGACAAAGGAGGAAUUUUCUGGAAAGUCCUUCAAAACAAUUUGCACACUUUAAGCUACACUUUGGGCCAUUUUUAUGAAAUAUAUAAGGGGGUUCACCACCUUGCUUUUGGAGAGCAUCCUCACCAUGGGAAUCUCAGCCCAGUUUGGUAACUGCUCUACUCUGGACCUCAAAGCUUUGCAGGUGGUGGUGCCUUCAGCUGAUCGCCUCUCCCCUUCCAGGACCUUUACCUCAGACAAUGCAGGGGCACAGCUGCCAAAAUCAGCAGGGGUACAACCCACCCGAAUAACUACCUCUUUAUCAGUCACUUCUGCUGGGAAGUACUUCUCUCAGUGAGAACCUUGGACUCUCAAGCCAUCAGGGCAACAAGCAUCUUAUAAAUGGUUAUGUUAACGUUAACUGCUUAUUUAUACACCUUGCACUUUAUCUGAACCGUGUUGCACAUCUCAUUUUGAGCCCCCAGUAUAAUAUAGUCCAUUAUUUAUUACAUUUAUUAUGCUGUUACUUUUUCGUCUGUUUGCAUUCAAGUAUAUUUUUGUUAGUUAGUUGUCCAUCUUGCGUUUCACUACAGAUUAUAGCCUGACUGUACACCUUGCACGUGACAAAUAAAACACUUGAAUCCUUUUAAA